rnacentral:rRNA from 1 species
UACGGAGGGUGCGAGCGUUGUCCGGAAUCACUGGGCGUAAAGGGCGCGUAGGUGGCGCGAGGAGUCUGUGGUGAAAGCCCGAGGCUCAACUUCGGGUCGGCCGCGGAUACUCUCGUGCUGGAGGGUGGUAGAGGCCAUGGAAUUCCGGGUGUAGCGGUGGAAUGCGUAGAGAUCCGGAAGAACACCGGUGGCGAAGGCGGUUGGCUGGGCCAC